rnacentral:tRNA from 1 species
GAUUAAUGAGCUUGUAUAAGCAUUUGUUUUGAAAACAAAAGAAAGAAUUUUAUCAUUCUAUUAAUUU